UGCAGGCACCUGCUAAAACAUGCAUUUCUCCUUCCCUUGUGGCAUCCCUAAUUCCACACACUUGGUCAGGAUUUCACUGACCUGCAGGUUUUGCCGUUCCUCAAGCUGAAACAUGUUGUCAGUGUCCAAAGCCUCCUGCCCAACACAACAGCUUGUAGAAAUACAGAUGACUUCCCACUGCGGGGUUUGAUCUCUGCCCUGCUAGCCCCUCAAUACCGUUCAAAUCUCUGUUCAAGCAUUUCCCAUUCUCCCUGUUUUCCCUGCCAGAAGCAGACCAGGCGGAGGUUGCUCACACCCAGUUUAGUUUCCUGGUCCCCCUUAGGCCGCCCAGGGACUCUGCUAUGGCUGGAGCUGUGACCACAGAUCUGCAUUGCCCUGCGCUGCUGUGCAUGGACGGGCCUUUCUUUCCCUCCCCGCAUUGCUCACAGCGCAAGACUGAACAGCAACACGACGACCGCUGCUCCUUCACUCCGCACUUCCCACCCCACGACCUUCUUGUGGGAUCGGGACAGCCGCAGAGUCGGGAAGGAACAGCCUCGUCGUAUUGACGGUCGGGGAGAGCGGCUUCGCCUGCAGCCCAGCUCUCAGCCUCACAACAGCCCCCUGUUGAGAGACCGUCUCCAAACGAUAAUCUUUGGCUUCCACAUCCCUACAACCCUGGUGUUCCCUGUACAUCCCCCUGGACUUUGCCCCGUUCCUCCUGGCUGCUCCCUGGGCUCCUGCACCUGGGACUUUGCCCUCCUUCCCUGAGUUGCCAUCCCUGGGAUUUCCACCUCCCCUGUGUGGAUGGGUCUGUCUGUGCCCGCAAUGGCACCUGCCCUGCCUGUGUCACCCCCUCCCACACCCAGCCCAGCCUCUCCAACCCUUCCUGCACCAACAGACACGUCCCCAGCUCCCAUUUCUCACCCUGUAACUGCUGGUGCCAGAUGAUCAUGGGUAACAGCCCUUACCCCUUGUGCCCCACAGGGACCUGCCCCCAGUGCCCUCCUGGCUCUCCCACAGCCUCGUCACACCCCAGAGCACCCCAAGUCCUGGCCCCUUUGAGCUCAAACCCUCUCAGCUGUCACAGGCCACCAGGUCCAUCCAGCCUCCAGUGCCUGGGCAGCCUCCUCCCUGGGACAGGCAGCGUGAGGGCAGGAGAGGAGACACAGCUGAUUUCCAGCUAGGGAGACCGCCUGUUCCUAAUUGUGUGGGACAGUCCCAGAAUGGGGUCAGCGAGUCCCAGUCCCGGGUUGCACGACUCCAACUCAGCAUUUCUUCCACAUUUGCAUCUGGGAAAGAGCUGGUUAGCUGUGGGAGCAGGUCCCUGAAGUGUAUUCCUAGAAGAUUUCCUUGCUGGCGGGAAAGGAGGCCAGGCUCCCUGGCUCCAGUUCAAACAGCUGCCUUUUAGUCAUCGCCUUUUCAUCAUGUAUUCAUCUGGUGCAACAGGAGCACCCAAACGCAUGGUUCACUGCUCAGGGGCAGGUCUCUCCUCCUGAAGAUGCAGUGUUUGUUGAUAGCCAGCCACUCCUUCGUCUUUCUUAAAAGGAUACUGUGGGAUGGGAGGUUGUUUCAUGCCAUGUGAGGUGUUGGCUCAGGGGAUUUCAGUAUGUGACUAUGAAAAUGUUCACCUCUGGCUCAGGGCUGGGGUCCCAUGCAGGUCAAUGAGACCCCAAAGGCAUGGCUGUGGGCCUUGUUGUGGUGCUCUGGGAAGCGUCUUGGUGCACUUCCCUGUGGACAGGUGUCCGUCCUGAAAGGAAAAGCUUGCCUGGCAUGGCUGAUGCCCUCACCGCCAGAGACGCCUGUGAUUGGGUGAAUGACCCUCAGACUUAAUGACUAACUGUCGAGUAUGAGGUUUGCUGGCAAAGGCUGUGGGGAAGCUCCUGCUACUGGGCUGGACAUCUGUGACUGAGAGACGUCAAACCCCAAGGCUGCCAAGCUGAUCAUCUGUUCUCCUUUCCCCUCUCCUGUAAAAAGAGAAAAAGGAGGGGAAAAGCAACCACAAUGUCAGGGGGUGGACAGAUCUGCAAGUUCAAAGCCAGGAAUUUACCACUCUUCAGCUGAAUUGACCUGGUUCGACUGUCCCCUCCUCUCUUGCUGGAAGUACAAGGUUAGCCCGUGUCACUCAGGGGUAAGCUGCCCUGGUUCAAGUUACCAGUGUUUAGCUUCACUUGCUCUGUGACAGGAGCAGACAGGUGACGCCAGGACAAGAGAUCACCUGAAUCGUGAUGGGAACACCUCUUCUCACCCUGCGUCCAACAGUGCGCCCGUUAAUCUGUCCAUAGCCAUAGUUUCCUGGUGUAAGCUUCCUUCAUACGGAGGCAAAGCUUUGGGGAGCACUUUCUGAAGUCAAAGAUUUAAACAAUUUCAGCCCAACAAGCCUCGUCUCACAAUUUUUCUGAGUUUGUUUGGGAAGUCUGAGCGAGACCCUUCCAGCUCUGCACGAGUUCGGCAUAGAUGCCAGUGUUUUCCUAAGUGGUGAUUUUAACUUGUCCUGGUUGUACUUCUCCCCAGGGAUGCUUGGGUUAAAAAAAAGUGCCAUUUGAUUUAAGAAAGUACGAAAUAUCUGGAAAUGACCUGUGAGCCUGCCCUGUAAAACACUUCCUUAUGCAUACUCGAAUGAAUGGUCUUCUCUCUUGCA